AGGUCUUCAUGAGUCGUGUUCAGUGGGGUGAUGAAGGUCUUCAUGAGUCGUGUUCAGUGGGGUGAUGAAGGUCUUCAUGAGUCAUGUUCAGUGGGGUGAUGAAGGUCUUCAUGAGUCGUGUUCAGUGGGGUGAUGAAGGUCUUCAUGAGUCAUGUUCAGUCGGGUAAUGAAGGUCUUCAUGAGUCAUGUUCAGUGGAGUGUAAUGAUACAGACCAUUCAGACAGAAAUACAGAGCCUUUCAAAAGUAUCUGCAUCACAUGUUAUUGUGUUACAAGGUGGGAUUAAAAGGGAUUUCAUUGUCAUUUCUAGUCAACAAUCUACACAAAAUACUCGGUAAUGUCAAAUAAUAUAUAUAUUUAGAUUGAUAGAAAUGAAAUACCUAAAAUAGUUGUUCCAUAAGUAUUCAG